rnacentral:rRNA from 1 species
GUAUUAGUGUGCGAACGGGUGAGUAACACGGGGGCAAUCUGCCCUUCACUCUGGGACAAGCCCUGGAAACGGGGUCUAAUACCGGAUAACACCGGCUUCCGCAUGGGAGCUGGUUAAAAGCUCCGGCGGUGAAGGAUGAGCCCGCGGCCUAUCAGCUUGUUGGUGGGGUAAUGGCCUACCAAGGCGACGACGGGUAGCCGGCCUGAGAGGGCGACCGGCCACACUGGGACUGAGACACGGCCCAGACUCCUACGGGAGGCAGCAGUGGGGAAUAUUGCACAAUGGGCGAAAGCCUGAUGCAGCGACGCCGCGUGAGGGAUGACGGCCUUCGGGUUGUAAACCUCUUUCAGCAGGGAAGAAGCGAAAGUGACGGUACCUGCAGAAGAAGCGCCGGCUAACUACGUGCCAGCAGCCGCGGUAAUACGUAGGGCGCAAGCGUUGUCCGGAAUUAUUGGGCGUAAAGAGCUCGUAGGCGGCUUGUCACGUCGGGUGUGAAAGCCCGGGGCUUAACCCCGGGUCUGCAUCCGAUACGGGCAGGCUAGAGUGUGGUAGGGGAGAUCGGAAUUCCUGGUGUAGCGGUGAAAUGCGCAGAUAUCAGGAGGAACACCGGUGGCGAAGGCGGAUCUCUGGGCUAUUACUGACGCUGAGGAGCGAAAGCGUGGGGAGCGAACAGGAUUAGAUACCCUGAUAGUCCACGCCGUACACGUUGAGCACUAGGUGUUGGGCGACAUUGCACGUCGUCGGUGCCGCAGCUAACGCAUUAAGUUC